rnacentral:rRNA from 1 species
UGAGGAACAUGACCUUCGGCGGGGGAUAGCCGGCCCAACGGCCGGGUAAUAUCGCGUACGACCACUCGGGGACAUCCCCAGGUGGUGAAAGCAGCAAUGCGCCGAUGGAGUGCCUCGCGGCCUAUCAGCUAGUUGGUGAGGUAACGGCUCACCAAGGCGACGACGGGUAGCUGGUCUGAGAGGAUGGCCAGCCACAUUGGGACUGAGACACCGGCCCAGACUCCCGUAGGGACGG